CCUACGGGAGGCAGCAGUGGGGAAUAUUGGACAAUGGGGGGAACCCUGAUCCAGCCAUGCCGCGUGUGUGACGAAGGCCCUCGGGUUGUAAAGCACUUUCAGUGAGGAAGAACGCCUGGUGGUUAAUACCCAUCAGGAAAGACAUCACUCACAGAAGAAGCACCGGCUAACUCCGUGCCAGCAGCCGCGGUAAUACGGAGGGUGCGAGCGUUAAUCGGAAUUACUGGGCGUAAAGCGUGCGUAGGUGGCUUGAUAAGCCGGUUGUGAAAGCCCCGGGCUCAACCUGGGAACGGCAUCCGGAACUGUCAAGCUAGAGUGCAGGAGAGGAAGGUAGAAUUCCCGGUGUAGCGGUGAAAUGCGUAGAGAUCGGGAGGAAUACCAGUGGCGAAGGCGGCCUUCUGGACUGACACUGACACUGAGGUGCGAAAGCGUGGGUAGCAAACAGGAUUAGAUACCCCAGUAGUC
rnacentral:rRNA from 1 species